UACGUAGGGGGCUAGCGUUGUCCGGAAUCAUUGGGCGUAAAGCGCGUGUAGGCGGUCCGGUAAGUCCGCUGUGAAAGUCGGGGGCUCAACCCUCGGAUGCCGGUGGAUACUGUCGGGCUUGAGUACGGAAGAGGCGAGUGGAAUUCCUGGUGUAGCGGUGAAAUGCGCAGAUAUCAGGAGGAACACCGGUGGCGAAGGCGGGAUCCUGGGCCAGUACUGACGCUGAGGAGCGAAAGCGUGGGGAGCGAACAGG
rnacentral:rRNA from 1 species